UGCGAACGGGUGAGUAACGCGUAGGUAACCUGCCUUGUAGCGGGGGAUAACUAUUGGAAACGAUAGCUAAUACCGCAUAAUAACAGUUGUUGCAUGACAACUGUUUGAAAGGUGCAAUUGCAUCACUACCAGAUGGACCUGCGUUGUAUUAGCUAGUUGGUGAGGUAACGGCUCACCAAGGCAACGAUACAUAGCCGACCUGAGAGGGUGAUCGGCCACACUGGGACUGAGACACGGCCCAGACUCC
rnacentral:rRNA from 1 species